UACAUUUCAACAGGGGUUUGAAUCCACACCAUUCCCACCACCAGAGUUCUGAAUCUUCAGUCUCCCCACUUCAAUCCAUCACAGUUCCCCUAAGGCUCUCUGUUCCUGACAACUCAGCUGCAGAACUUUUUCUGUGCACUUUCCUUCCCCUUGAAUCUCUGCCAUGCCACCUCUCCUGAGAGACUGAACACAUGUAGCCAAACUCUGCAAAUGAUAUUGCAUCUGCUGAUCCCAACCUAUUCAAUGCAAUGAGCACCACCUUGACAUGCUUCACUUCGGUCUGUGUCCAGAAACAUCAGGUGUGGAAUGUCAACCCUUCAGCAU